UGGCGAACGGGUGAGUAACGCGUGAGGAACCUGCCUCAAAGAGGGGGACAACAGUUGGAAACGACUGCUAAUACCGCAUAAGCCCACGGGUCGGCAUCGACCUGAGGGAAAAGGAGCAAUCCGCUUUGAGAUGGCCUCGCGUCCGAUUAGCUAGUUGGUGAGGUAACGGCCCACCAAGGCACGAUCGGUAGCCGGACUGAGAGGUUGAACGGCCACAUUGGGACUGAGACACGGCCCAG
rnacentral:rRNA from 1 species